rnacentral:rRNA from 1 species
UUGGUGCAUGGUUUAGGAGACGGUCGGGGGCACGAGAAGUCCAGCGCGGGCUCUGUUCGCUGCUUUUUUUUUUGGAUGCUGCUAAGUGGUCGCUUUUUUUUGGGAUGCUACUAAUUGGUCGCUUUUUUUAACAGAACCUUGCUCCGGAGGUCCACGGGAGCUCGAGCGUGAGCGUACUCUAGGGAAGGUCCGGUGGUGCGGUGUGGUGGUCUAGGGUAGCGGCGGUGGAGCGUGAGCGUAGGGUAGCGGCGGCGGGCACGCAAGAGCUAGCCUCUCCUGCGAGGGAAGCGGCGGCGACUCUAGGCUCUUCUCAGCGGGAAGCGGCCGCGGUUCUAGGACACGGAGAGAUUUCUGGGGAGAGAGAGCGCUGUGGCGGAGGGAAUGUUCCUGCGGUACGGUACCCAGAGGUAGCCACGGUGCUGACGGCGCCGGAGGGGUGGACGGCUGCGAGAUCUAGGCCGGCAUCAACUAAGGGACAUGUAGUAGAGUUCCUCCUCCCCGCACUCCGCCAACGGCGGCGGCCACCGACGUGAACUUCCAGAGGCGGCGAACGAGGUUGGUCUAGGUCGGUCUGGCUGGACACCACCAGGUGCACGUAGACCUGCCUGCGUUGCCGAAACGGAGGGGACAGGGUACAGAAGCAGGUGGUCUGGUAGGGUAACGCGCGGCCGCGAGUGCCUCCUCUUGGACUAUAAAGAUCUCCGGACUGCGCGCCAGCUAGUGUGAAUGAUGCUGUUCAGGAGGUUGCCCACCUCGACCAAGUCCAUGGUGUUCGUGGGAGGUCCUUUUCGUCCAAGGUCGACACGUUUCAGACGGAUGAUGACGAUAGGUAUGACGCGAUAUCGUUUUAUCGAAACCUAGUCCUGAUUGGAGAUCGGUCCUUUCUUGGACUUAGGGUUCAGCUGCCGGCGACGCCACGGGUGCAGGCGCAGUAAUCACGACGAUUCCCCGCGAAGUGGGACAAGCCGUAAUAGAAGAUAAGAAGGAUGCCGACGUUCUUGGGAGUGGAACCGAUACCGUCUACGCUGUCUAUUUCGUCCUCUACCUACUUUACGACGACUCUGCAAUGUUCUAUAAGGUCGUCUCCGUAGGAAUGGUAGGCGUAAUGUUCCUAUACUCUUGUAACCCCAGGACUUCCGUCACUGGACAAAUGGUAUGUGUAUAAAUGAAGGAAAGAUCCCACCUUGUUACCUUCCGUGUUAAGGUUUAAAGGUUCAUGUCGAGAAGUUCUUGUCCUAGAGACUUCCUUGUUGUUAAAUGUUCGAACCGCGAAUGGUCCAAGUCAUACGAUCCCUUUCUAUGUUUUGACAUCUAGCAGGUACCUCUCAUCACAAACGGGUUUUUUGAUGGCAGCUUGGUUAACACGGAGUCGGUGGUUUGAAAGGGUUCAUACCUAUAUGGUGGAUGUUACAUGUGUCAUGGUUUCGACGUAAUUUGUUUAGCAAAACAACAGUCUUACGGGCGGCAACACUACAAAACCCCUUUUAAUCGUCUACGGGAACUACGUCUGUUCGAUGUUGCCACCAGACGAGUUCUUGGGUAAUAUCAAGAUAAACAACCGUACGGUCAUGUACUUAAAUUACUUUGAACUGGAAGUUCAGGACAGACCGUUGAGCUACCAUGUACUUAGGUUGAUAAAGACUUCGCCGUCGAUAAGAUCCUUCUAGAUGACGUUCUAGGGUAGUUUAACUCUAUUCGUGGCCGAGUGUCCCAGUAGCGAUCCGUUGUUUAUGUUGUUUGUGUAUUAAUAGUCGGCAACUGGGACCACCUUAGUACCUGGUCAUGAUAUUUGACCUUUAUUUCUCUUGACUUCACAGGGGAAGGUGCCGCAACCCCCCGGAAAGAGACGGUCCGCGCCACCGAGGAACCAUCCUACUACGUCGACCGAGCCGCCUCCGAUCCUCCGAGCAGCCGGCUGUAAAGCAACUACGUACCCACGGUAUAACGCUACCUUGCCGUCAUAUUAUAUGUUUUGAAACUGCUCCGAGUGGACGAAGUUUUAAAGUGUUAUUCAGGUUAGUUCUGUUGAACGUUGAAACCACAACAGUGUAACCUCAGGCACGACUCGUCGUUACCCUCUGACAGCAACUACGGGCUGGGUACUACGGCUGCUUCCUUGCUCUCAGCUACUCCUCAUCUGCGGUACCCAAACACUUGACCGGUUCGGUGGCAACAGGCAAACCAUUACACUGAACGGGACUAAAACUGCAGCAGAUGGUUGUAGGCUGCUUCCCUUGGGCAGGGCCAAAGGUAGAACUACAAUAACUCGAGACGUGAUGUUUUGACUCUUUCUGGGUAUUGAAAAAUGUCCUAGCAAAGAUGUAUGAUGUUUAUCUCCCUUCAACCGAACACGGAAUCAUCUCUGUCUACUUGGUUAUUUUACUAACCUUUCCGAGAAAGGUUCGUAUUCUCCUCGAAAACUUCCUUGACUUCUUGGCCUUGGAGGGGAGGAGGGAGGGCGCUGCGAGGGCGUCCGCAGGCCCCCCGUUGGGAUCGUGGCGGCGGCCAGGGGGGAGGAGAGGGAUGGGGGAGCGCCGGCGGGCCCCCGCGCUCGCCCGCUUCGGGCGAGCAGCGACCGCCGCCGCCCCGGAAGAACAGAGGCGCGCACCCCCAAAGACACUCCCGGCCUGCGGAGACCGGCCUACGCCGCGAACCGCGACCGGCACCGUCGAGUCGUCGCGCGGCUGCACCCGACAGCCGCCGCGUACGGUCGCUACCCUACCCGUCACGCCACCACCACGUCCGACCUCCGACCACCACCGCCGCCGCGCGGGUCUAGGCGGAGACCGCGGCGCUCAACGCCCGCUGGACCUAGUGCCAGCCGGAAGGGAUGGUACCGAGCACCCCCCCGUCGCCCACCUACGCACACGGCAACGGGCAGGCUCGGGAACACCGUCCAGCUACAACGUGCCGCGACCUCUGAGGGGACCACCGGUAGGUACCUACGCCGCCGCCCGAGACGAAGGAGUAAUCUAAUUUAAAACCAUAAUGUAAAAAAUCGUGAAGUACACUUACAAGAUAUCAGAGAUAACACGUCCGCCCAGAUGAGAGGGAGAACUCCGCUCACACCUACAUUACCUGUAACUAACACCAACAAGCCUGUUUUUAUAACGCACCUUUGUAAUAUAUGACUACCUAAAUUAAUCGUACCCGACCUGCCCUUCCACUACGGACGCUACCGCUGGUUCUGCUGCCCGUCGCGUCCCCGUUAACACCGGUAGCACCACAAAAGUUCCCUCUCGCUCCGUUGACGUUAGUGCGUUGACUUCUUCAGCUUUGGGCCCCGCUUCAACCGGUUGUACUUUCGACUGUUUGGAUUUACGGCCACUAUCCAACAAGCGGCGACAGCACGGCAGAAACUUGAACCACCUCUGCGUCUUCGUCACCGCCUCGAUCCUAGUUCGGUACUGGGCCCGUUCGGGGUCCGGUUAGUGAACCAUGUCACGAUUUGUCACAUUUUAGGUGAUGUCAUUUGCUUCCUCGGUUCGGAGUCCUGGGUCCGGCGGCGGGCCCGUCGGACCCCGAACAGAGGCGGUGAUACGUCUUCCUCUUGCCACCGCGGCACUUCUGGAACUGCUGACAACGGUACUGGUGUUGGUACUACUAACACAACCAUUAUUUCUAUGAUUAAUAUAUGUUUAGGGGGUCGAAGCUUUUGUAAUCUAAUAGGUUGAAUAAUAAGUUUAAGAACUAAGUUCUAUUUACCUUUAAAGGAUAUAUGUUACUCGAAUAAUAAAAAAAAUCUUUUCCUCCUACUGGGGGCCGUAGACGUAGACCCUCUACGUAUGCCGGUGAAAUAACUAAUAAAAGCUCCUGGAAUAUUUCAUAAUGUUGUUAUAUGGACUUAGGUGGUAGAACCGUAAACGGCGAUGAGGAUAGGUAUGUUACUCGAAUAAUAACUUCCAACGUAGCUAAUACAAUAAUAAUGACUUUAUUCUCCGAAUACUUUAAAAGUUAGAAACACAUGGAACAUUAUCACUGACAGUUAGAAACACAUGGAACAUUAUCACUGUGCACCUACGCACUUCAACUCACUAUG